UUUCAUGCUGUCAUGUAAAUACCUACCCAUGUGAAACAAAUAGUGGAUUUGUGCUUCCCUAAAGAAGGUCUGGAGGAAGCUGGCAUGGUUCAUGGAGAGACUGCUUUAAAACCAAGAAGACCUGGUUUCAAAUCCUUCCUCUGACAUUCUGACUAUUUGACCUAAGGAAAGUCACUUACCUUCUCAGUAUUCUGGGACACUGUCUCUGAAUAUGAAAAAAGAACUGAUCAUCAGAGGGAAGAAGUGAUUUGCCUCUGGUCACAUAUAGGCAGCAUAUGAGAGGGACAAGAUUGAAGCCCAGGUUUAGGGCAACAGCCUGGGGCAAUGAAAAGGCCCUUAUACUGGGAGUUAGAAGAUCCAGGUUCAAGCUGCAGCUCUGCCACCAAUUUGCUAUGUUCCCUGAAGCAAGUCAGUUAGAUUCUCUGGGACUCAGUUUUACUUGGAUGUUUGUGGGGCAUCUGAGCUCCUAUGUAUCCUAUCAUCCUAUCAGGCUACCAUUGUUCCACAACUGCCCUAGAAUUGCGAUUCUUCUGAGAUUGUGGAUCCUUUUUCCCAGCAGGAUGGAACUGCAUUCUCCAAAGGAAUCUAAUUGCACAUGCCUUAUGGAAUUGAAAUUUUCACCUGAGUAAGGAAUUCAGCAAUAGACCCACUGACAACACCAAACACUUUGAAAGCAAAAAAGAGCCAAAGGUAUAUUUUUGGUAUGUGCUAUAAGUAAGUGACAACUGCAGGGGGAAAAGAAGUUGAUUCUAAGCCAGCUAAUACACAGGAAUAUA